rnacentral:lncRNA from 1 species
AACAGUCAGAAAGACUGGCAGAGAUAGACAGAGAAGCCGGCAGACAGACUGGCAGAGACAGAGAGAGAUACUGGCAGACAGAGAGAGAUACUGACAGAGACAGAGAUGGAGACUUGUAGGGACAGAGAGAGACUGGCACCAACAGAGAUAGAGACUGUGAGAGACAUACAGAGAGACAGAGACUGGUAGAGACAGAGAGAGAAACAAAGAAUGGUAGACACAGACAGAGAGACUGGCAGAGAUAGACAGAGAGAUAUACUGGCAGACACAGAGAGAGAUUGCCUGAGACAGAGAGACUGGCAGGGACAGAGAGAGACUGGCACCUAGAGAUAGAGUCUGACAGAGACAGUCAGAGAGACAGAAACUAGCAGAGUAAGACAGAGAGACUGGCAGAGACAGACAGAAAGACUGGCAGAGACAGAUAGAGAGACUGGCAGAGACAGAGAGACUGGCAGAGAUAGACAGAGAGGCCAGCAGACAAACUGACAGAGACAGAGAGAGAUACUGGCAGACAUAGAGAGACUGCCAGAGACAGAAUGAG